AGAGUUGAGUCCUGGCUCAGGACGAACGCUGGCGGUGUGCCUCAUACAUGCAAGUCGAACGAGAAACUGACUUCGGUCAGUGGAAAGUGGCGGACGGGUGAGUAAUAUGUAGGAAAUCUGCCCUAGAGAGGGGGACAACAGAGGGAAACUUCUGCUAAUACCCCAUAUGAGCUUGGUUGAAAUACCAAUCUUGAAAACUCCGGUGCUCUAGGAUGAGCCUGCAUCUGAUUAGCUAGUUGGUGGUGUAAUGGACCACAAAGGCGACGAUCAGUAGCUGGUUUGAGAGGAUGAUCAGCCGCAAUGGGACUGAGACACGGCCCAUACUCCUACGGGAGGCAGCAGUAGGGAAUUUUGCGCAAUGGGGGGAAAAACCCCUGACGCAGCAACACCGCGUGAAUGUUAAGCCCUUCGGGGUAUAAAGUUCUGUCAAUGGGGAAGAAUAAAUGACUGUACCCAUAAAGGAAGCACCGGCUAACUCCGUGCCAGCAGCGGC
rnacentral:rRNA from 1 species